rnacentral:lncRNA from 1 species
AUCCUGGAUCUCUCCUAUUAUAAAUAAGAUUGUGUCUCUCCCUCGUCAAGACGCAACAAUAAUCAAAAUACAUUUUUUAAUACUUUACUCUAAAAUUUAUUAAUUUCCAAAGAUUAAAACCCUAAAAACCGACAAUGAGAUGUUGGGCAAAAUUUCCCCUUUUUGGAAAUCAAAAUAUGGUCAGUGGUCGUCAUAGCUUUUGUAAUAAAAAUUUAACAUAUAUUUAAAAAAAAGGGCAAUUAGUUAAUGUUAUCAGGAGGGCAAAUACCCUCUCUGCCUAGGAUUGAUUAUACUAUCCCAUGGGCCAUGAGUAAGACAAAGUUCGGAGUCUCUCGAAUACGGAUUUUAUCGUAAAGUAUCCUAUUACUAGGAAUCAAGUUGAUGCUAGAGAUGAUGGCUUCGAUAAUUUUGUGAAAUAAUUUCCACUAAGCCCGAUGAUAUAAUCAUAGAGGAAUUGUUUGGACAGGACUUUACCUCCAACAGAAGUUGUAUUGUAUGGCACUGCACUAAGUAUCAAAUUAAUAAAUUUGAUUGAGGAUAUAUCUUAUUAAAUUGGAUCCAAAUUAUUUGUAUAAAUAUAUUUUUAUCAACUUUAGAUAUAAUACUUAAAAAGAAUGCAAAUUACAUGAAAUUGCUUUCAAAUAUUGAAUUUUUUGCGAGGAAUCAUAUUCAGCCAUCACUUGUUCUAAUCUUAUGAUUAGAUUUUCAUGAACUUCUUUGAUUUGUUUAACGUCUAUACUUUCUAAUUCUCUUCUUUUUUCCAUAACGGACUCCUCUUCUUUUUUCAAAUAAUCAAUUAACUUCCAUAGAUUCGGAUGCAUGUUUGUAAUUGAGCUCUGUAAAGCAUUGUGGAAUUCUUCUACACUAUUCUUUGUUUUUAUAACAUCACUAAUUUGUUUAGAGUAAACGUUCCACAACUCGAUUGGAAAAGUUGGCUUUACUCUUCUCCUUCUUUCUCCAUGGCCUCGCAGACCCCCGAUGUAAUGAGUUUCAAAGUACGAUACAAAUUCUUGAGGCAAAUCGUCGUCAUCGGCGAGGUCAAUGUAUCCGUCAAUCACAUCC